GAUGAGCGCUGGCGGCGUGCCUAAUACAUGCAAGUCGAGCGAAUGGAUUAAGAGCUUGCUCUUAUGAAGCUAGCGGCGGACGGGUGAGUAACACGUGGGUAACCUGCCCAUAAGACUGGGAUAACUCCGGGAAACCGGGGCUAAUACCGGAUAACAUUUUGAACCGCAUGGUUCGAAAUUGAAAGGCGGCUUCGGCUGUCACUUAUGGAUGGACCCGCGUCGCAUUAGCUAGUUGGUGAGGUAACGGCUCACCAAGGCAACGAUGCGUAGCCGACCUGGGAGGGUGAUCGGCCACGCUGGGACUGAGACCCGGACCAGAAUCCUACGGGGGGCAGCAGAAGGGAAUCGUCCGCAAUGGACGAAAGUCUGACGGAGCAACGCCGCGUGAGUGAUGAAGGCUUCCGGGUCGUAAAACUCUGUUGUUAGGGAAGAACAAGUGCUAGUUGAAUAAGCUGGCACCUUGACGGUACCUAACCAGAAAGCCACGGCUAACUACGUGCCAGCCGCCGCAGUAA
rnacentral:rRNA from 1 species